CAACCUGCCACCUAGUGGAGGAUAGCCUUUCGAAAGAAAGGAUAAUACUCCAUGUACUCCUUUAAGGGCAUCUGCGAAGGAGGAAAGAUUAAUCGCUGGGUGAUGGGGAUGCGUCUGAUUAGGCAGUUGGCGGGGUAACGGCCCACCAAACCGACGAUCAGUAGGGGUUCUGAGAGGAAGGUCCCCCACAUUGGAACUGAGACACGGUCCAAACUCCUACGGGAGGCAGCAGUGAGGAAUAUUGGUCAAUGGACGGAAGUCUGAACCAGCCAAGUAGCGUGCAGGAUGACGGCCCUAUGGGUUGUAAACUGCUUUUAUGCGGGGGUAAAGUGAGUGACGUGUCAUUCAUUGCAAGUACCGCAAGAAUAAGGACCGGCUAAUUCCGUGCCAGCAGCCGCGGUAAUACGGAAGGUCCUGGUGUUAUCCGGAUUUAUUGGGUUUAAAGGGAGCGUAGGCCGUCAGGCAAGCGUGUUGUGAAAUGUCGUGGCUCAACCAUGGACUUGCAGCGCGAACUGCCCGACUUGAGUGCGCAGAAAGCAGGCGGAAUUUGUGGUGUAGCGGUGAAAUGCUUAGAUAUCACGAAGAACUCCGAUUG
rnacentral:rRNA from 1 species